rnacentral:rRNA from 1 species
ACGGAAGGCAGCAGUGGGGAAUAUUGCACAAUGGGCGCAAGCCUGAUGCGGCGAUGCCGCGUGAGGGAAGAAGGUUUUCGGAUUGUAAACCUCUGUCAUCGGGGACGAUAAUGACUGUACCCGAGAAGGAAGCUCCGGCUAACUACGUGCCAGCAGCCGCGGUAAUACGUAGGGAGCGAGCGUUAUCCGGAAUUACUGGGUGUAAAGGGAGUGUAGGCGGGACUGUAAGUCAGAUGUGAAAUAUACUGGCUCAACUGGUAGACUGCAUUUGAAACUGCGGUUCUUGAGUGAAGUAGAGGUAAGCGGAAUUCCUAGUGCAGCGGUGAAAUGCGUAGAUAUUAGGAGGAACAUCAGUGGCGAAGGCGGCUUACUGGGCUUUAACUGACGCUGAGGCUCGAAAGCGUGGGGAGCAAACAGGAUUAGAUACCCUGGUA